GNCUAGAGUGUGUCAGAGGGAGGUGGAAUUCCGCAUGUAGCAGUGAAAUGCGUAGAUAUGCGGAGGAACACCGAUGGCGAAGGCAGCCUCCUGGGAUAACACUGACGCUCAUGCACGAAAGCGUGGGGAGCAAACAGGAUUAGAUACCCUGGUAGUCCACGCCCUAAACGAUGUCUACUAGUUGUCGGGGAUUAAUUUCCUUGGUAACGCAGCUAACGCGUGAAGUAGACCGCCUGGGGAGUACGGUCGCAAGAUUAAAACUCAAAGGAAUUGACGGGGACCCGCACAAGCGGUGGAUGAUGUGGAUUAAUUCGAUGCAACGCGAAAAACCUUACCUACGCUUGACAUGUCCGGAACCCUGAAGAGAUUUGGGGGUGCUCGAAAGAGAGCCGGAACACAGGUGCUGCAUGGCUGUCGUCGGCUCGUGUCGUGAGAUGUUGGNNUAANNNNNGCAACGAGCGCAACCCUUAUCAUUAGUUGCUACGCAAGGGCACUCUAAUGAGACUGCCGGUGACAAACCGGAGGAAGGUGGGGAUGACGUCAAGUCCUCAUGGCCCUUAUGUGUAGGGCUUCACACGUCAUACAAUGGUCGGUACAGAGGGUUGCGAAGCCGCGAGGUGGAGCCAAUCCCAAAAAACCGAUCGUAGUCCGGAUUGCAGUC
rnacentral:rRNA from 1 species